UUUUAAGAAGAGACUGGACAGCCACUUGUCUGAAAUGGUAUAGGUUUUCCUGCUUGAGAUGGGGGUUGGACUAGAUGACCUCCAAGGUCCCUUCCAACUCUGUUAUUCUAUUUAUUCGAAUACAGCAAUUGCUUUGAGAUGUUCAUCCUCCAUUCAUCGGCAGCUUUUGAAUUCUCUUUGAGCUACAGGCACGGAGUCAGUGGCUUCAAAGGUUAUCAGAAAACUGAGCUACAUCUUUCCUUUUUUUUCUACAUCUGGGUUAAUGAACAAAGACCUCCUUGCCCCAAGAAGCUUGCACUUGUUCCCCACAUCUGGGAGAGGCAGCCUUAAGAGAGAAACGUUGCAAACAGUGGGCUGUCUGGCUCCUUUUAAUUGGCCAAUUCACUACAGUUUGGGGGCAAAUACGCUGGGCGAACCCUCAACCAACUAAGCGAACGUUGGAAAAGUGCCCAAGUGAACAACAUCCGUCUGCAGUUGUACCCAAGCUUUUUUUUUUUUUUUUUGGUUUUGUUUUCUUCCAGGAAGCGGAGCAAAAUGCACACAAGCACAGCCUCCAGUUACAAGCUAGCGAGAACUCUGGCACGCUAAGAAGGUUUCAACCCCCCCAAAAAAUGUUUGCACACCUUCCCAUAUGGAAGCUAAAAGUCCCUGCACUUGUUAUGUCUAGCUUGCUGUCAAGAGAGAUGCAAAAAUUCAGCUCUCUUGUUUCUAAAUAAAACCCUUCAAAGGCGUAUGCGUUUGUGUUUCUUUUCUUUUCAUUUUUUUUUUUUUUUUUGCUGCCUCCAAAGGACUGCAAAGGCUCCUGUUAUUAUGUUUAUUUACCCAACCGGCGGCCAAAUGACGAAGCCAAACCAGAAAGGUCAGUUUGAAGCAAGAACGAAACAUUUGCUGGACGGAAUCCGACCAAAGAAAGAAUAACUCCAAUCUCUCCUUAAAAAUUGAGUUUCUCUCACGAGUUUCAAAAAUAACCGGCUAGCCCCUUGGAAAGGGAGCGGAAAAAGGAAAGAAGAAAAGCAAGAAAGGGCCGUUGUAACUUUGAAGAGUCACCAAAUGGCUACCUG